rnacentral:lncRNA from 1 species
AGACCUUCCCUAUGAGGGAGGCGGAGGCAAGGACCGGUCCGUGUCCCUCGCGUGAGUGGGUUGAGUGACUCAGCCCUGGGACCAGCGGCGGGGAGAGAAAGGGGGCUUUGGUCACUGGGGGCGGGACGAGAGAGGCCGGAGCAAAGCGUGGGGGGCAGGAAGCGGGGGCCAGGGGAGGGACUGGGACAGCCAGCGCCAGUAGGCACAGGGGAGGGCCAAGGAAGGAGAGGAAGGUUCUCCCACGCAGUCCCGUCUCCCCAGUUCUAGGUGCCAGAAACAGCCCUCGCCUACCGUGCUGGGCCCUGUCCCCGGCCACGUGACAGCAUGGGGGGUCCUCACCCGCGGGGCAGGUAGCUGCCCUCCUCCCUCUGUCCGCAUCUGCCGCUGGAAACUCACCUGGCUUUGCGAUGGGGCCCGGGGCGGCUGCCGGGACACGUAGGGGCAUCUUUUUGCUGCAAAUGGAAGAGGUUCAUGCAGACGCAGACCGUCACGCAAGGCCCUGAGUGGAGUGGUCAGCCCAAGGACGCAGCCUCCCCCCGGGAGCCUGCCCGCCUUGGCAUCGGCCGUGAGCCCGGUGGCCAGCUAGACCGCGAAGCCCAGAAUCACCCUCGGCGCCCUGAGGCGCCCCUGGGGGCAGAAACGGCUGCCUCGUCCCAGCAGAGAAGCCAGUGGUGACCACACACGGUAUUGAGCCGCCCCCGUCCCCAGAUGAAGGCACCCCGCCCCGUGUGAGGGCUGGCGGUAAAGCUCCGGUGAUCAAAACAGCGCCGUGCUUGUUGGCGGGGGCAUAGACACCGAGCCGUCCGGGCCCGGCUGAGCGCCGCCGACGUGCAAAGCAGUUCGAGGGGGGAAGGACAGGCUUCUCGGCACCUGGUGCGGGAGCAGCGGCAUAUUCGCGGGCUUGACCGAAGCCUCACACUGAACACGGAAAUUAAUUCCAAACGGAUCACGGGUUAAAUGUGAGACAUAGUGUGCAAACCUUUAGGAAGACCCAGAAAAUCUUCAGGGCCUAAGGGGGAGAGUUUUCAGACUUGACCCCAGAAAUCGCAUCCAUCAGAGGAGAAAUUGAGACGGGCGCCUGGGGGGCUCAGUCGGUUGAGCAUCCGACUUCGGCCCAGGUCGCGGUCUCAUGGUUCGUGAGUUCAAGCCCCGAGUAGGGUUCUGUGCUGACAGCUCGGAGCCUGCUUGGAUUCUCUCUCUCUCUCGUUCUCAAAAAUAAAUAAACAUUAAAAAAUAAAAA